rnacentral:lncRNA from 1 species
CGGGACCAGCGCCGCCGCUCGCCGCGGGCGCCUGAGGCACAACCCGCAGCGCUCCAGGGGCCCAGGAGGGGCCGGCGAGGCGCGUUCCCGCAGCGACAGCGAGACCACCCUGCCGCGGAGAGGGGCCGAGCGGGAACACAGAGCCAGCACAGGCGAACGAGGGAUGGCCACUGGGCGGAGGGCCGGAUCCGAGCCCCUGCCGGUCCCCGCACCCGCCAAGCAGAUUUUUCCCCUGAAGGCCUGUAUUAUGUGGAGGAUUCGAGCAGUCGGAUACUCUACUUAUAAGAUGUGAAAACAGAAAACUCACUCUCACAGACUAUGCAAGUAUCAUCUUUAAGGUAAACUUCAAAUUCCAUUUUCAAAUAACUGUGACUUAAAAGCUCUUGUCCU